UUGGUCAAGCCCUCGACCGAUUAGUACCCGUCAGCUUCACACCUCACGGCGCUUCCACAUCGGGCCUAUCAACCUGUUCAUCUUUCAGGGGUCUUACCGAGCUUACGCUCGUGGGAAAUCUCAUCUUGAGGUCGGUUUCGCGCUUAGAUGCUUUCAGCGCUUAUCCGCUCCGGAUAUAGCUACCCAGCGGUGCCUCUGGCGAGACAACUGGUACACCAGGGAUCCGUCCAUCCCGGUCCUCUCGUACUAGGGACAGAUCCUCUCAAAUUUCCUGCGCCUGCGACGGAUAGGGACCGAACUGUCUCACGACGUUCUGAACCCAGCUCACGUACCGCUUUAAUGGGCGAACAGCCCAACCCUUGGGACCUACUACAGCCCCAGGAUGCGAUGAGCCGACAUCGAGGUGCCAAACCUCCCCGUCGAUAUGGACUCUUGGGGGAGAUAAGCCUGUUAUCCCCAGGGUAGCUUUUAUCCGUUGAGCGAUGGCCCUUCCACUCGGAACCACCGGAUCACUAAGCCCGACUUUCGUCCCUGCUCCACUUGUUUGUGUCGCAGUCAAGCUCCCUUCUGCCUUUACACUCUUCGCGCGAUUUCCAUCCGCGCUGAGGGAACCUUUGGGCGCCUCCGUUACACUUUGGGAGGCGACCGCCCCAGUCAAACUGCCCACCUGACACGGUCCUCAUCCCCGCUUCAGGGGACUAAGUUAGAAUUUCAGUACAAAAAGAGUGGUAUCCCACCGGCGACUCCACCAAGGCUGGCGCCCUGGCUUCUUAGUCUCCCACCUAUCCUGUACAUUCUCUACCAAAAUCCAAUGUCAAGCUGCAGUAAAGCUCCAUGGGGUCUUUCUGUCCUGUCGCAGGUAACCCGCAUCUUCACGGGUAUUACAAUUUCGCCGAGUCCCUCGUUGAGACAGUGUCCAGAUCGUUACGCCUUUCGUGCGGGUCAGAACUUACCUGACAAGGAAUUUCGCUACCUUAGGACCGUUAUAGUUACGGCCGCCGUUUACUGGGGCUUCAAUUCAAAGCUUCGGGUCUCCCCUAACCUCUCCUCUUAACCUUCCAGCACCGGGCAGGCGUCAGCCCCUAUACUUCUCCUUGCGGAUUUGCAGGGACCUGUGUUUUUGUUAAACAGUCGCCUGGACCAAUUCUCUGCGACUCCUAUUCCUAGGAGUACCCCUUCUCCCGAAGUUACGGGGUCAUUUUGCCGAGUUCCUUAACGAGGGUUUUCUCGCGCGCCUUAGGAUUCUCUCCUUAUCCACCUGUGUCGGUUUACGGUACGGGCACCGAUUCGCUCACUAGAGGCUUUUCUUGACAGCCUGAACUCAGUCCCUUCGCUACUUGUUUUCGCUCCCCAUCACCCCUCAGAAUCUCGCAGGGCGGAUUUGCCUGCCCUGCUUCCUCGAGGCUUGGACGUGCUCAACCAACGGCACGCUGGACCUGUCCUUCUGUGUCACCCCAUCGCUCAAUCGCUUACCGGUGGUACUGGACUCUCAACCAGUUGUCCAUCACCUACGCUUUUCAGCCUCGGCUUAGGUCCCGACUUACCCUGGGCGGACGAGCCUUCCCCAGGAAACCUUGGAUUUUCGGCGGGAGGGAUUCUCACCCUCCUUUUCGCAUACUCAUACCGGCAUUCUCUCUUCCAAGCUCUCCACCCUUCCUUCCGGAAGAACUUCGCUGACCUUGGAAUGCUCCCCUACCCCAGGAACGGAAUUAUUAAACCCUUAGCUUUGCGCUUAUCCUGCUCGCUUCAGCCCCUGAAGAACAUUUGGGAAUUUUGCUCUUAUUGAAACUUGCCUUCUUAGCAGAUGCAAAAUUCCUGAUGUAGGGCUCUUUUUCGGGCCCUCUCUCUAAAGACUUAAUAAUUCCGUUCCUAGCCAUAGCUUCGGUGAUACGCUUGAGCCCCGUUACAUUUUCGGCGCAGAACCACUCGACCAGUGAGCUAUUACGCACUCUUUAAAUGGUGGCUGCUUCUGAGCCAACAUCCUGGUUGUCUGAGCAAUUCCACAUCCUUUUCCACUAAGCGUAUACUUAGGGACCUUAGCUGAUGGUCUGGGCUGUUUCCCUUUCGACUAUGAAGCUUAUCCCCCACAGUCUGACUCCCAAUCUAAACCUAACGGCAUUCGGAGUUUGAUAAGGUUCGGUAACCGGGUAAGGCCCCUAGCCUAUUCAGUGCUCUACCGCCGUCAGUCAUCGAUUGAGGCUAGCCCUAAAGCUAUUUCGGGGAGAACCAGCUAUCUCCGUGUUCGAUUGGCAUUUCACCCCUACCCACAGAUCAUCCCCUGCCUUUUCAACGACAGUGAGUUCGGGCCUUCAGUGGGUUUUACCCCACCUUCACCCUGUCCAUGGGUAGAUCACACGGUUUCGGGUCUACAGCAUGGAACUAUUCGCCCUCUUCAGACUCGCUUUCGCUCCGGCUCCGGCUUUUCGCCUUAACCUCGCUCCAUACCGUAACUCGCCGGUUCAUUCUACAAAAGGCACGCCAUCACUCGUAGUUCGUGGUUCGAUGCACGUCGUUCGAUUCUUUGUAUUCCUUUGCGGUCUUGACCUAA
rnacentral:rRNA from 1 species